rnacentral:rRNA from 1 species
GAUGAACGCUGGCGGCGUGCCUAAUACAUGCAAGUCGAGCGAACAGACGAGGAGCUUGCUCCUCUGACGUUAGCGGCGGACGGGUGAGUAACACGUGGAUAACCUACCUAUAAGACUGGGAUAACUUCGGGAAACCGGAGCUAAUACCGGAUAAUAUAUUGAACCGCAUGGUUCAAUAGUGAAAGACGGUUUUGCUGUCACUUAUAGAUGGAUCCGCGCCGCAUUAGCUAGUUGGUAAGGUAACGGCUUACCAAGGCCACGAUGCGUAGCCGACCUGAGAGGGUGAUCGGCCACACUGGAACUGAGACACGGACCAGACUCCUACGGGAGGCAGCAGUAGGGAAUCUUCCGCAAUGGGCGAAAGCCUGACGGAGCAACGCCGCGUGAGUGAUGAAGGUCUUCGGAUCGUAAAACUCUGUUAUUAGGGAAGAACAAAUGUGUAAGUAACUAUGCACGUCUUGACGGUACCUAAUCAGAAAGCCACGGCUAACUACGUG